GAGAGGAAGCUGGUAUGCAUGGGUGACUGUUGGUCAUCCAUAAACAGCCUUGCCCUGACUUGUGCCUCGGAGGGUAACUUUCUAGAUGCAGUCCUAUGGUCAUCCAUGACCGAAGGGUGGGGGGGCUUUACUCUUUACUCUUU